GAUGAACGCUGGCGGCGUGCCUAAUACAUGCAAGUCGAGCGAACAGACGAGGAGCUUGCUCCACUGAUGUUAGCGGCGGACGGGUGAGUAACACGUGGAUAACCUACCUAUAAGAUUGGGAUAACUUAGGGAAACCGGAGCUAAUACCGGAUAAUAUAUUGAACCGCAUGGUUCAAUAGUGAAAGACGGUUUUGCUGUCACCUAUAGAUGGAUCCUCGCCGCAUUAGUUAGUUGGUAAGGUAACGGCUUACCAAGGCAACGAUGCGUAGCCGACCUGAGAGGGUGAUCGGCCACACAGAAACUGAGACGCGGUCCAGACUCCUACGGGAGGCAGCAUCAGGAAAUCUUCCGAAAUGGGCGGAAGCCUGACGGAGCAGCGCCACGUGAGUGAUGAAGGUCUUCGGGUCGUAAAACUCUGUUAUUAGGGAAGAACAAAUGUGUAAGUGACUAUGCACGUCUUGACGGUACCUGCUCAGAAAGCCACGGCUAACUACGUG
rnacentral:rRNA from 1 species